rnacentral:rRNA from 1 species
UGCAAGUCGAGCGAAUGAUGAGGAGCUUGCUCCUCUGAUUUAGCGGCGGACGGGUGAGUAACACGUGGGUAAUCUGCCUGUAAGACGGGGAUAACUCCGGGAAACCGGGGCUAAUACCGGAUAAUAAAAAGAAACGCAUGUUUCUUUUUUGAAAGUCGGUUUCGGCUGACACUUACAGAUGAGCCCGCGGCGCAUUAGCUAGUUGGUGAGGUAACGGCUCACCAAGGCGACGAUGCGUAGCCGACCUGAGAGGGUGAUCGGCCACACUGGGACUGAGACACGGCCCAGACUCCUACGGGAGGCAGCAGUAGGGAAUCUUCGGCAAUGGGCGAAAGCCUGACCGAGCAACGCCGCGUGAGCGAUGAAGGCCUUCGGGUCGUAAAGCUCUGUUGUUAGAGAAGAACAAGUACGAGAGUAACUGCUCGUACCUUGACGGUACCUAACCAGAAAGCCACGGCUAACUACGUGCCAGCAGCCGCGGUAAUACGUAGGUGGCAAGCGUUAUCCGGAAUUAUUGGGCGUAAAGCGCGCGCAGGCGGUCUCUUAAGUCUGAUGUGAAAGCCCACGGCUCAACCGUGGAGGGUCAUUGGAAACUGGGAGACUUGAGUGCAGGAGAGAAAAGUGGAAUUCCACGUGUAGCGGUGAAAUGCGUAGAGAUGUGGAGGAACACCAGUGGCGAAGGCGGCUUUUUGGCCUGUAACUGACGCUGAGGCGCGAAAGCGUGGGAGCAAACAGGAUUAGAUACCCUGGUAGUCCACGCCGUAAACGAUGAGUGC